AUUGAACGCUGGCGGCAGGCCUAACACAUGCAAGUCGAGCGGAUGAAGGGAGCUUGCUCCUGGAUUCAGCGGCGGACGGGUGAGUAAUGCCUAGGAAUCUGCCUGGUAGUGGGGGAUAACGUCCGGAAACGGGCGCUAAUACCGCAUACGUCCUGAGGGAGAAAGUGGGGGAUCUUCGGACCUCACGCUAUCAGAUGAGCCUAGGUCGGAUUAGCUAGUUGGUGGGGUAAAGGCCUACCAAGGCGACGACCCGUAACUGGUCUGAGAGGAUGAUCAGUCACACUGGAACUGAGACACGGUCCAGACUCCUACGGGAGGCAGCAGUGGGGAAUAUUGGACAAUGGGCGAAAGCCUGAUCCAGCCAUGCCGCGCGUGUGAAGAAGGUCUUCGGAUUGUAAAGCACUUUAAGUUGGGAGGAAGGGCAGUAAGUUAAUACCUUGCUGUUUUGACGUUACCAACAGAAUAAGCACCGGCUAACUUCGUG
rnacentral:rRNA from 1 species